AGCGGCGAGUGAGCGGCAAGAGCUCAGAUUUGAAAUCGUGUUUCGGCACGAGUUGUAGAGUGUAGGCGGGAGUCUCUGUGGAGCGCGGUGUCCAAGUCCCUUGGAACAGGGUGCCUGAGAGGGUGAGAGCCCCGUAGGGUGCUGCGCGAAGCUUUUGAGGCCCUGCUGACGAGUCGAGUUGUUUGGGAAUGCAGCUCCAAGCGGGUGGUAAAUUCCAUCUAAGGCUAAAUAUUGGCGAGAGACCGAUAGCGAACAAGUACUGUGAAGGAAAGAUGAAAAGCACUUUGAAAAGAGAGUGAAACAGCACGUGAAAUUGUUGAAAGGGAAGGGUAUUGGGCUCGACAUGGGGGGUGCGCACCGCUGUCUCUUGUAGGCGGCGCUCUGGGCGCCCUCUGGGCCAGCAUCGGUUCCUGCUGCGGGAGAAGGGGCUCCGGAAAGUGGCUCUUCGGAGUGUUAUAGCCGGGGCCAGAUGCCGCGUGUGGGGACCGAGGACUGCGGCUUCUGUCUCGGAUGCUGGCAUAACGGCGCAAUACCGCCCGUCU
rnacentral:rRNA from 1 species